rnacentral:tRNA from 1 species
AGGGAAGAAGCUAAUAAACCAGCAAUUAGUUGUUACCUAAUAGAGAGUGAAAAUAUCACCUUUCCUA